rnacentral:rRNA from 1 species
GAUGAACGCUGGCGGCGUGCCUAAUACAUGCAAGUCGAGCGAACGGACGAGAAGCUUGCUUUUCUGAUGUUAGCGGCGGACGGGUGAGUAACACGUGGAUAACCUACCUAUAAGACUGGGAUAACUUCGGGAAACCGGAGCUAAUACCGGAUAAUAUUUUGAACCGCAUGGUUCAAAAGUGAAAGACGGUCUUGCUGUCACUUAUAGAUGGAUCCGCGCUGCAUUAGCUAGUUGGUAAGGUAACGGCUUACCAAGGCAACGAUGCAUAGCCGACCUGAGAGGGUGGUCGGCGCCCCUGGAACUGGGACACGGUCCAGACUCCUACGGGAGGCAGCAGUAGGGAAUCUUCCGCAAUGGGCGAAAGCCUGACGGAGCAACGCCGCGUGAGUGAUGAAGGUCUUCGGAUCGUAAAACUCUGUUAUUAGGGAAGAACACAUGUGUAAGGAACUGUGCACAUCUUGACGGUACCUAAUCAGAAAGCCACGGCUAACUACGUG